UUGAUGCCGCACCGUGACAGACCGGUUCACCGAUGGCGCAGUGCCGUCGAAGAUCCCAGGGUUCCGAAAGGAUUCGAGGGAGCGCUGGCGGUGUUGUUUGGCCUCAGUUCAUACCUUGUUGUCGACGAGAAUUCGUGAUUUCGUGGUGCUGUUGGAUUGAUGCCGCUCGGGAAGAUUGAUCAGCAAGGAGAAUAAUAGGUAACUGUUCCAUCAGUAUCUUCUGUCUACCAUGAGUAUGCAAUGAAAAUCCAAAUACCAGUAUUUAUCUUCAGUAUUCCAGAAAAAACAUGGCUGAUUCGAGAGGGAAGAGGGUGAUGGUGCAUCAGCUAGUGAUUACAUACCUGAACUAUCUGAACCUGAAUUUCGAUGAUGAUCCUCCUUGCGACGUCCCUUGCUAGUUUGUUUGAGGAGAAUGAGCAGGUUGAAAAAUGCUUCAGGUUAUUUAUACUUUUCAGGUAUUAAGGGCAAUGUUUUAAUUACCAUUACCAUAACUGGGUGCUUGGGGCGAAAUUGGGAAAUGUUUUAAAUACCAUAGCGUGAUCGAUGGGGAGUUAAUUUCAGUAUACCGAGAUACUAUAGCGUGAGGUGAUUUAGUUACCAUAGAUGGUGAUUUAAUUUCAGCUGACCGAGAUACUAUUGAAUUCACUGAAUAUUUGCAUAGUGGGACGAGAUUGAUUUUGGGGCGAGUUUGACUCGGGCGUGAUUACAUACCUUCUGCGGCGAGGUUGCAUUCCUUCUGGGACGAGAUUGAUUCUGGCCAAGAUUCUGGGCGAGAUUGAUACUGGUCGAGAUUCUGGGCGAGAUUGAUUUUUGGACGAGAUUUCUGGUGCGGCCCAUUUGGUGCGGCCCAUGUAGGCGAUCGCUGCAGAGGGGGUGACGACCAAAACUGGUCGU